rnacentral:rRNA from 1 species
AGAGUUUGAUCCUGGCUCAGAUUGAACGCUGGCGGAAUGCUUUACACAUGCAAGUCGAACGGCAGCAUAGAGAGCUUGCUCUCCGAUGGCGAGUGGCGAACGGGUGAGUAAUAUAUCGGAACGUGCCUAGUAAUGGGGAAUAACUAGCUGAAAGGUUAGCUAAUGCCGCAUACGACCUACGGGUGAAAGCAGGGGAUCUUCGGACCUUGCGUUAUUAGAGCGGCCGAUAUCUGAUUAGCUUGUUGGUGGGGUAAUGGCCUACCAAGGCGACGAUCAGUAGCUGGUCUGAGAGGACGAUCAGCCACACUGGAACUGAGACACGGUCCAGACUCCUACGGGAGGCAGCAGUGGGGAAUUUUGGACAAUGGGGGCAACCCUGAUCCAGCCAUUCCGCGUGAGUGAAGAAGGCCUUCGGGUUGUAAAGCUCUUUCGCAAGAGAAGAAAACUUACUAUCUAAUAAAUAGUAAGUAUGGCGGUAUCUUGACAAGAAGCACCGGCUAACUACGUGCCAGCAGCCGCGGUAAUACGUAGGGUGCAAGCGUUAAUCGGAAUUACUGGGCGUAAAGCGUGCGCAGGCAGUUUUAUAAGUCAGAUGUGAAAUCCCCGAGCUCAACUUGGGAACUGCGUUUGAAACUGUAAGACUAGAGUGUGUCAGAGGGGGGUAGAAUUCCAAGUGUAGCAGUGAAAUGCGUAGAGAUUUGGAGGAAUACCAAUGGCGAAAGCAGCCCCCUGGGAUAACACUGACGCUCAUGCACGAAAGCGUGGGGAGCAAACAGGAUUAGAUACCCUGGUAGUCCACGCCCUAAACGAUGUCUA